UGCUUUCCUCGCAUAGACUCUGUGUGGCUCUGACCUGAUGCUGCUCCAGCUGGAUGGGGGCGUCGUCCCUCUCUGUAACGCAGGAUAGGUGUUGGUGUCACUGUUUUGUUGGUCAAAGCGGGCGAAGAACUGCUUCAUGGUGUCAGGGACAGAGUUCAUGUUCAUGGACAUCAGGAUAAAAACAGAAGAUGGAAACCUGCCAGAUUUGAGCUGCUCAUGUGUCGUCCCUGGGCAGGUCACAUGACUCUAUCCAACACACAAAGACACACAGACACACAAGAAAAGCCAGAGAAACAAAGACAAAUCCAAACAAUCCAUCAUACUGAGUUAAAGUGAUCACA